CGCGGCCUAUCAGCUUGUUGGUGGGGUAAUGGCCUACCAAGGCGGCGACGGGUAGCCGGCCUGAGAGGGCGACCGGCCACACUGGGACUGAGACACGGCCCAGACUCCUACGGGAGGCAGCAGUGGGGAAUAUUGCACAAUGGGCGAAAGCCUGAUGCAGCGACGCCGCGUGAGGGAUGACGGCCUUCGGGUUGUAAACCUCUUUCAGCAGGGACGAAGCGUAAGUGACGGUACCUGCAGAAGAAGCGCCGGCCGACUACGUGCCAGCAGCCGCGGUAAGACGUAGGGCGCGAGCGUUGUCCGGAUUUAUUGGGCGUAAAGAGCUCGUAGGCGGCUUGUCGCGUCGACUGUGAAAACCCGCAGCUCAACUGCGGGCCUGCAGUCGAUACGGGCAGGCUAGAGUUCGGUAGGGGAGACUGGAAUUCCUGGUGUAGCGGUGGAAUGCGCAGAUAUCAGGAGGAACACCGGUGGCGAAGGCGGGUCUCUGGGCCGAUACUGACGCUGAGGAGCGAGAGCGUGGGGAGCGAACAGGAUUAGAUACCCUGGUGGUCCACGCUGUAAACGUUGGGCGCUAGGUGUGGGGGACCUCUCCGGUUCUCUGUGCCGCAGCUAACGCAUUAAGCGCCCCGCCUGGGGAGUACGG
rnacentral:rRNA from 1 species